rnacentral:lncRNA from 1 species
GAAGAACAAAAUCAAGCCCAGCUGUAACAACAGGGUCAUCCCUAGGAUGAGUGUAGCCUAAAUGAGGGGAUAGGUGUAAGUAUGUAGAAAGGGAUAAAUAAGGAUGAGGUAUCCAGAGUAUAUUCUGUAAAAAGAAUAUGUUGUAAAAUAACUUUUGAAGAAUAAAAGUUAUUUGCUAUUCCAUUGCAGUUCUAAAACAUAAUAAAUGGAAUAUGCAGGAAUUAUGGAUCAAUGGAAUGGAGUGCAGUUUAGUGGGAAACAUCAUAAGGGAUACCCUACUAUCCUUCAACAAUGCCUUCAAUACUCUAUAUCAUGGGAGUAUGUAUGGACUUAACUAAGAAAAGGACACCACUAUGCUCACCCUCACCGUACCUGCAGCCCUAGAAAACCUGGACCAUAGAUCUACCUCCCUAACCAUAGUAGAAAAUUAACUUUUCCAAGCCGCUGACUCUGCUGCCUGAAAAAUGAUAUGAUUACUCCACACCGAAAACCCAGAAAGAUUCGCCCACUCCUCCUACC